rnacentral:rRNA from 1 species
GGUUAAGUCCCGCAACGAGCGCAACCCCUAUCUUUAGUUGNCAUCAGGUUGNGCUGGGCACUCUAGAGAGACUGCCGGUGACAAGCCGGAGGAAGGUGGGGAUGACGUCAAGUCCUCAUGGCCCUUAUGUCCUGGGCUACACACGUGCUACAAUGGCGGUGACAGUGGGAAGCUAGGUGGUGACACCAUGCUGAUCUCUAAAAGCCGUCUCAGUUCGGAUUGCACUCUGCAACUCGAGUGCAUGAAGGUGGAAUCGCUAGUAAUCGCGGAUCAGCAUGCCGCGGUGAAUACGUUCCCGGGUCUUGUACACAC